AGAGCGAACGCUGGCGGCAGGCCUAACACAUGCAAGUCGAGCGGCCGUAGCAAUACGGCAGCGGCAGACGGGAGAGUAACACGUGGGAACGCGCCCUUCGGUUCGGAAUAACUCAGGGAAACUUGGGCUAAUACCGGAUACGCCCUUACGGGGAAAGAUUUAUUGCCGAAGGAACGGCCCGCGUCCGAUUAGCUAGUUGGUGAGGUAAUGGCUCACCAAGGCGACGAUCGUUAGCUGGUCUGAGAGGACGAUCAGCCACACUGGGACUGAGACACGGCCCAGACUCCUACGGGAGGCAGCAGUGGGGAAUAUGGACAAUGGGGGCAACCCUGAUCCAGCCAUGCCGCGUGAGUGAUGAAGGCCUUCGGGUUGUAAAGCUCUUUGGCGGGACGAGUGAUGACGGUACCGCAGAUAAGCCCGGCUAACUCGCGCCAGCAGCCGC
rnacentral:rRNA from 1 species